rnacentral:rRNA from 1 species
UACGUAGGGUGCGAGCGUUAAUCGGAAUUACUGGGCGUAAAGCGUGCGCAGGCGGCUUUGCAAGACAGAUGUGAAAUCCCCGGGCUCAACCUGGGAACUGCAUUUGUGACUGCAAGGCUAGAGUACGGCAGAGGGGGAUGGAAUUCCGCGUGUAGCAGUGAAAUGCGUAGAUAUGCGGAGGAACACCAAUGGCGAAGGCAAUCCCCUGGGCCUGUACUGACACUGAGGUGCGAAAGCGUGGGGAGCAAACAGG